CUACUGGGGUUUCUAAUCCUGUUUGCUCCCCACGCUUUCGAGCCUCAGCGUCAGUUACAGACCAGAAAGCCGCCUUCGCCACUGGUGUUCCUCCAUAUAUCUACGCAUUUCACCGCUACACAUGGAAUUCCGCUUUCCUCUUCUGCACUCAAGUGACCCAGUUUCCAAUGACCCUCCACGGUUAAGCCGUGGGCUUUCACAUCAGACUUAAGUCACCGCCUGCGCUCCCUUUACGCCCAAUAAAUCCGGACAACGCUUGCCACCUACGUAUUACCGCGGCUGCUGGCAC
rnacentral:rRNA from 1 species